rnacentral:rRNA from 1 species
AACGAACGCUGGCGGCAUGCCUAACACAUGCAAGUCGAACGAGACCUUCGGGUCUAGUGGCGCACGGGUGCGUAACGCGUGGGAACCUGCCCUUAGGUUCGGAAUAACUCCCCGAAAGGGGUGCUAAUACCGGAUAAUGUCUUCGGACCAAAGAUUUAUCGCCUUUGGAUGGGCCCGCGUUGGAUUAGCUAGUUGGCAGGGUAAAAGCCUACCAAGGCGACGAUACAUAGCUGGUCUGAGAGGAAGAUCAGCCACACUGGGACUGAGACACGGCCCAGACUCCUACGGGAGGCAGCAGUGGGGAAUACUGGACAAUGGGCGAAAGCCUGAUCCAGCAAUGCCGCGUGAGUGAUGAAGGCCGGAGGGUUGUAAAGCUCUUUUACCCGGGAUGAUAAUGACAGUACCGGGAGAAUAAGCUCCGGCUAACUCCGUG